rnacentral:lncRNA from 1 species
AAGGUCAUGUCUGGAUUCCACAAUAUACUGCAAACUUCUUAAGAUAAGCCUUUCUUCCCUGGACUGACUUCUGUUCACUGUGCAUGGGAACUGUUGGGUUCUGCCUCCCAGGUGCCCCGGUACCGUGCAGGCUGGCAGAUCAGCUGCUCCGACACGCAGUGGGACCCAGCUCUGUACAGCACCACCAAGUUGUGUGUUCACUGAAAACUGGAUACAAUCUGAGCAGGUCUAAAGCUAGAGGUAAUGGACCUUUUAAAGCCAUUGCCUUUCAAGCAAUAAAAAUAAUAAAAGUCCACAUAACUGCCAAGAUGACAUCAUGAACAAGGAAGCAUACAGAUGGGUUUAAAUGAAUGCAUUCAACAGGAGGAACUAUGUUUUCUUAUGAUCAAGAUUUAGUGAGCAAAUUAUAGAAAAGCAUAAGAAUAAACAGUUAUGCCACUCUGGGAUUGUUAAGCA